AACAUUCUACUGGAUGGAUUUGCUAAACAAGGUUGCUAUGUCGAAGCAAGAGAUGUAAUUUGUGAGUUUGGGAAGCUUGGGUUACAACCAACAGUAAUGACAUACAACAUGUUGAUCAAUGCAUAUGCGAGGGGAGGUCAAGAAUUAAGGUUGCCACAGCUUUUGAAGGAGAUGGCAGCACUUAAUCUAAAACCUGAUUCUAUUACAUAUUCCACAAUGAUAUAUGCCUUCAUCCGUGUGCGGGAUUAUAAGAGGGCAUUUUAUUUUCAUAAGCAGAUGGUAAAAAACCGGCAAGUGCCUG
rnacentral:misc_RNA from 1 species